rnacentral:piRNA from 1 species
UGACAGAGUGCCUAGCAUCCAAAGGUAGAG